rnacentral:rRNA from 1 species
UAGGGAAUCUUCCACAACGGACGCAAGUCUGAUGGAGCAACGCCGCGUGAGUGAAGAAGGCUUUCGGGUCGUAAAACUCUGUUGUUGGAGAAGAAUGGUCGGCAGAGUAACUGUUGUCGGCGUGACGGUAUCCAACCAGAAAGCCACGGCUAACUACGUGCCAGCAGCCGCGGUAAUACGUAGGUGGCAAGCGUUAUCCGGAUUUAUUGGGCGUAAAGCGAGCGCAGGCGGUUUUUUAAGUCUGAUGUGAAAGCCCUCGGCUUAACCGAGGAAGCGCAUCGGAAACUGGGAAACUUGAGUGCAGAAGAGGACAGUGGAACUCCAUGCGUAGCGGUGAAAUGCGUAGAUAUAUGGAAGAACACCAGUGGCGAAGGCGGCUGUCUGGUCUGUAACUGACGCUGAGGCUCGAAAGCAUGGGUAGCGAACAGGAUUAGAUACCCUGGUAGUCCAUGCCGUAAACGAUGAAUGCUAGGUGUUGGAG